GUGCCAGCCGCCGCGGUAAUACGUAGGGUGCGAGCGUUAAUCGGAAUUACUGGGCGUAAAGCGUGCGUAGGCGGUUGUUCAAGCUUGAUGUGAAAGCCCCGGGCUUAACCUGGGAAUGGCAUUGAGGACUGGACAGCUGGAGUGCGGCAGAGGGAGGUGGAAUUCCACGUGUAGCAGUGAAAUGCGUAGAGAUGUGGAGGAACACCGAUGGCGAAGGCAACCUCCUGGGCCGACACUGACGCUGAGGGCACGAAAGCGUGGGGAGCAAACAGGAUUAGAAACCCCCGUAGUCC
rnacentral:rRNA from 1 species